GACGAACGCUGGCGGCGCGCCUAACACAUGCAAGUCGAACGAGCGAGAGAGAGCUUGCUUUCUCAAGCGAGUGGCGAACGGGUGAGUAACGCGUGAGGAACCUGCCUCAAAGAGGGGGACAACAGUUGGAAACGACUGCUAAUACCGCAUAAUGCAUUUAGGGGGCAUCCCCUGAAUGCCAAAGCUUUAUGUGCUGAAAGAUGGUCUCGCGUCUGAUUAGCUAGUUGGUGGGGUAACGGCCCACCAAGGCGACGAUCAGUAGCCGGUCUGAGAGGAUGAACGGCCACAUUGGGACUGAGAUACGGCCCAG
rnacentral:rRNA from 1 species